CAGUAGCCGCGGGAAUACGUAGGUGGCAAGCGUUGUCCGGAAUUAUUGGGCGUAAAGGGCUCGCAGGCGGUUUCUUAAGUCUGAUGUGAAAGCCCCCGGCUCAACCGGGGAGGGUCAUUGGAAACUGGGAAACUUGAGUGCAGAAGAGGAGAGUGGAAUUCCACGUGUAGCGGUGAAAUGCGUAGAGAUGUGGAGGAACACCAGUGGUGAAGGCGACUCUCUGGUCUGUAACUGACGCUGAGGAGCGAAAGCGUGGGGAGCGAACAGGAUUAGAUACCCCAGUAGUCCCUGUCUCUUAUAC
rnacentral:rRNA from 1 species